GGGCCUGUGGCGGAACUGGCAGACGCGACGGACUUAAAAUCCGUUUUCCGAUGAGGAAGUGUGGGUUCGAGUCCCACCGGGCCCA
rnacentral:tRNA from 1 species